UUAUUUUUCGUUUCACCAACUACGUUUAUGUGUAUGUUAGUAUGUUUUAUAUAAGAGUAGAGAACCAUUUCUACUUUAUUAUUAUUUCUGCGUAGAACUAACGUGUAGCGUGCUUAAAGCCUCCAUACGCGGGCCUAUACAAGGCCGAUCGGCCCGGU